rnacentral:rRNA from 1 species
CUGGCGGCGCGCCUAACACAUGCAAGUCGAACGGGCGAGAGGAGCUUGCUCCUCAAGCUAGUGGCGGACGGGUGAGUAACACGUGAGCAACCUGCUUUCAGAGGGGGACAACAGUUGGAAACGACUGCUAAUACCGCAUAACAUCGUCGGACGGCAUCGUCUGAUGAUCAAAGAUUUAUCGCUGAAAGAUGGGCUCGCGUCUGAUUAGAUAGUUGGUGAGGUAACGGCCCACCAAGUCGACGAUCAGUAGCCGGACUGAGAGGUUGAACGGCCACAUUGGGACUGAGACACGGCCCAGACUCCUACGGGAGGCAGCAGUGGGGGAUAUUGGACAAUUGGGGGAAACCCUGAUCCAGCGACGCCGCGUGAGGGAAGAAGGUUUUCGGAUUGUAAACCUCUGUUGACAGGGAAGAAAAUGACGGUACCUGUUUAGAAAGCCACGGCUAACUACGUGCCAGCCGCCGC